rnacentral:rRNA from 1 species
UACGUAGGGGGCAAGCGUUGUCCGGAUUUAUUGGGCGUAAAGAGCGUGUAGGCGGUCAGGUAGGUCCGUUGUGAAAACUCGAGGCUCAACCUCGAGACGUCGAUGGAAACCAUCUGGCUAGAGUCCGGAAGAGGAGAGUGGAAUUCCUGGUGUAGCGGUGAAAUGCGCAGAUAUCAGGAAGAACACCCGUGGCGAAGGCGGCUCUCUGGGACGGUACUGACGCUGAGACGCGAAAGCGUGGGGAGCGAACAGG